UGUUUCGGCUAGGGGGUCAUCCCGACUUACCAACCCGAUGCAAACUGCGAAUACCGAAGAAUGUUAUCACGGGAGACACACGGCGGGUGCUAACGUCCGUCGUGAAGAGGGAAACAACCCAGACCGCCAGCUAAGGUCCCAAAGUCAUGGUUAAGUGGGAAACGAUGUGGGAAGGCACAGACAGCCAGGAUGUUGGCUUAGAAGCAGCCAUCAUUUAAAGAAAGCGUAAUAGCUCACUGGUCGAGUCGGCCUGCGCGGAAGAUGUAACGGGGCUAAACCAUGCACCGAAGCUGCGGCAGCGACACUAUGUGUUGUUGGGUAGGGGAGCGUUCUGUAAGCCGUUGAAGGUGUGCUGUGAGGCAUGCUGGAGGUAUCAGAAGUGCGAAUGCUGACAUAAGUAACGAUAAUGCGGGUGAAAAACCCGCACGCCGGAAGACCAAGGGUUCCUGUCCAACGUUAAUCGGGGCAGGGUGAGUCGACCCCUAAGGCGAGGCCGAAAGGCGUAGUCGAUGGGAAACAGGUUAAUAUUCCUGUACUUGGUGUUACUGCGAAGGGGGGACGGAGAAGGCUAUGUUAGCCGGGCGACGGUUGUCCCGGUUUAAGCAUGUAGGCGGAGGUUCCAGGUAAAUCCGGUACCUUUUUAACGCUGAGGUGUGAUGACGAGGCACUACGGUGCUGAAGUAACAAAUGCCCUGCUUCCAGGAAAAGCCUCUAAGCAUCAGGUAACACGAAAUCGUACCCCAAACCGACACAGGUGGUCAGGUAGAGAAUACCAAGGCGCUUGAGAGAACUCGGGUGAAGGAACUAGGCAAAAUGGUGCCGUAACUUCGGGAGAAGGCACGCUGAUAUGUAGGUGAAGCGGUUUACCCGUGGAGCUGAAAUCAGUCGAAGAUACCAGCUGGCUGCAACUGUUUAUUAAAAACACAGCACUGUGCAAACACGAAAGUGGACGUAUACGGUGUGACGCCUGCCCGGUGCCGGAAGGUUAAUUGAUGGGGUUAUCCGUAAGGAGAAGCUCUUGAUCGAAGCCCCGGUAAACGGCGGCCGUAACUAUAACGGUCCUAAGGUAGCGAAAUUCCUUGUCGGGUAAGUUCCGACCUGCACGAAUGGCGUAAUGAUGGCCAGGCUGUCUCCACCCGAGACUCAGUGAAAUUGAACUCGCUGUGAAGAUGCAGUGUACCCGCGGCAAGACGGAAAGACCCCGUGAACCUUUACUAUAGCUUGACACUGAACACUGGUCCUUGAUGUGUAGGAUAGGUGGGAGGCUUUGAAGUGUGGACGCCAGUCUGCAUGGAGCCAUCCUUGAAAUACCACCCUUUAAUGGCUGGUGUUCUAACGUGGACCCGUUACCCGGGUUGCGGACAGUGUCUGGUGGGUAGUUUGACUGGGGCGGUCUCCUCCUAAAGAGUAACGGAGGAGCACGAAGGUUAGCUAAUCCUGGUCGGACAUCAGGAGGUUAGUGCAAAGGCAUAAGCUAGCUUGACUGCGAGAGUGACGGCUCGAGCAGGUGCGAAAGCAGGUCUUAGUGAUCCGGUGGUUCUGAAUGGAAGGGCCAUCGCUCAACGGAUAAAAGGUACUCCGGGGAUAACAGGCUGAUACCGCCCAAGAGUUCAUAUCGACGGCGGUGUUUGGCACCUCGAUGUCGGCUCAUCACAUCCUGGGGCUGAAGUAGGUCCCAAGGGUAUGGCUGUUCGCCAUUUAAAGUGGUACGCGAGCUGGGUUUAGAACGUCGUGAGACAGUUCGGUCCCUAUCUGCCGUGGGCGCUGGAGAAUUGAGGGGGGCUGCUCCUAGUACGAGAGGACCGGAGUGGACGCAUCACUGGUGUUCGGGUUGUCAUGCCAAUGGCAUUGCCCGGUAGCUAAAUGCGGAAGAGAUAAGUGCUGAAAGCAUCUAAGCACGAAACUUGC
rnacentral:rRNA from 1 species